UCAUUGGAAACUGGAAAACUUGAGUGCAGAAGAGGAAAGUGGAAUUCCAUGUGUAGCGGUGAAAUGCGCAGAGAUAUGGAGGAACACCAGUGGCGAAGGCGACUUUCUGGUCUGUAACUGACGCUGAUGUGCGAAAGCGUGGGGAUCAAACAGGAUUAGAUACCCUGGUAGUCCACGCCGUAAACGAUGAGUGCUAAGUGUUAGGGGGUUUCCGCCCCUUAGUGCUGCAGCUAACGCAUUAAGCACUCCGCCUGGGGAGUACGACCGCAAGGUUGAAACUCAAAGGAAUUGACGGGGACCCGCACAAGCGGUGGAGCAUGU
rnacentral:rRNA from 1 species